rnacentral:rRNA from 1 species
GCCUAAUACAUGCAAGUCGAACGGCAGCACAGUGUGUAGCAAUACACAUGGGUGGCGAGCGGCGGACGGGGGAGUAACGCGUAGGAAUCUGCCCAGUAGCGGGGGAUAGCCCGGAGAAAUCCGGAUUAAUACCGCAUACGCCCUACGGGGGAAAGGAAGGGACCUUCGGGCCUUUCGCUAUUAGAUGAGUCUGCGUCGGAUUUAGCUAGUUGGUAGGGUAAAGGCCUACCAAGGCGAUGAUCCGUAGCUGGUCUGAGAGGACGAUCAGCCACACUGGGACUGAGACACGGCCCAGUCUCCUACGGGAGGCAGCAGUGGGGAAUAUUGCACAAUGGGCGCAAGCCUGAUGCAGCCAUGCCGCGUGUGUGAAGAAGGCCUUAGGGUUGUAAAGCACUUUCAAUAGGGAAGAAAGCCUGGUUGUUAAUACCAAUUCAGUGUGACGUUAUCUAUACAAGAAGCACCGGCUAACUCCGUGCCAGCAGCCGCGGUAAUACGGAGGGUGCGAGCGUUAAUCGGAAUUACUGGGCGUAAAGCGCGCGUAGGCGGAUAGGUCAGUCGGAUGUGAAAGCCCCGGGCUUAACCUGGGAAUUGCAUUCGAUACUGCCUGACUAGAGUAUGGUAGAGGGAAGCGGAAUUCCGGGUGUAGCGGUGAAAUGCGUAGAUAUCCGGAGGAACACCAGUGGCGAAGGCGACAUUCUGGGUUAAUACUGACGCUGAGGUGCGAAAGCGUGGGUAGCAAACAGGAUUAGAUACCCUGGUAGUCCACGCCGUAAACGAUGUCUACUAGCCGUUGGAAUCCUUAGAGGUUUUAGUGGCGCAGCUAACGCAAUAAGUAGACCGCCUGGGGAGUACGGCCGCAAGGCUAAAACUCAAAUGAAUUGACGGGGGCCCGCACAAGCGGGGGAGCAUGUGGUUUAAUUCGACGCAACGCGAAGAACCUUACCUACUCUUGACAUCCUCGGAACUCGGCAGAGAUGCCUUGGUGCCUUCGGGAACCGAGUGACAGGUGCUGCAUGGCUGUCGUCAGCUCGUGUCGUGAGAUGUUGGGUUAAGUCCCGUAACGAGCGCAACCCUUGUCCUUAUUUGCCAGCACGUAAUGGUGGGAACUCUAAGGAGACUGCCGGUGAUAAACCGGAGGAAGGUGGGGACGACGUCAAGUCAUCAUGGCCCUUACGAGUAGGGCUAUACACGUGCUACAAUGGCCGGUACAGAGGGCUGCGAAGUCGCGAGGCGGAGCGAAUCUCAGAAAACCGGUCGUAGUCCGGAUUGGAGUCUGCAAUUUGACUCCAUGAAGUCGGAAUCGCUAGUAAUCGCGAAUCAGAAUGUCGCGGUGAAUACGUUCCCGGGCCUUGUACACACCGCCCGUCACA